rnacentral:rRNA from 1 species
ACGGGAGGCAGCAGUGGGGAAUAUUGGGCAAUGGACGAAAGUCUGACCCAGCGACGCCGCGUGAGGGAAGAAGAUCUUCGGAUUGUAAACCUUAGUCAACAGGGAAGAAGAAAGUGACGGUACCUGUGGAGGAAGCCACGGCUAACUACGUGCCAGCAGCCGCGGUAAUACGUAGGUGGCGGGCGUUACCCGGAUUUACUGGGUGUAAAGGGUGGGUAGGCGGGCUGACAAGUCAGAUGUGAAAACUAUGGGCUUAACCCAUAGCCUGCAUUUGAAACUGCCGGUCUUGAGCAUGGAAGGGGUAAAUGGAAUUCCCGGUGUAGCGGUGAAAUGCGUAGAUAUUGGGAGGAACACCAGUGGCGAAGGCGGCUUACUGGGCCUUAACUGACGCUGAGGCACGAAAGUAUGGGGAGCAAACAGGAUUAGAUACCCUGGUA